CUCGCCCCACGGCUCGCUACCUGUCUGUCAUAGUCGCGGUCCCACAUGUCGUUGAUGGUGCAGCCGGCGCCCCGCAUGAGCACGGCUCCCGCGCCGAACAGCGACAGCAUGCGCCAGUCCGGCAGGCAGCCGGGCGCGGCCGCCAGCCCGAUGCUCCACGUACACGGCAGGAUCAACAGGUGACAUUUUCUUAGCAGUUCCAAGCCCUUAAGUUACUCACAGAGAAGAGUCAACUGAUACCUUCAGUCCAACCAAAGAUAACAAGAGGCUCUGGAUUCCCUUGGUCAACUCCUGCAGAAGAUUGCUGUAGCAAUUCUCCAAAGGACUGUGAACUAAAUCCUGAACCUAAAAGGGGUAAGGAAUAUAUUAGUACAGAGGAACAUGCAUGCAUUAAUUUUACACUUUCAAAAAAUCAAACUGACAUGCAUGAUUCAUCUUAUAAAGAAAAUAAAUAAGAGUAAACAAUGAAAGUUUACAGUUCCCAUCUGAAAACAAGCCACAUAAAGGAAGUUUAAAGGUAUUAUUACAUAAAUCAAAUACUUGCAACUUCAAGAGGUGAACAAAAAUUAAGCUAGGCAGCUUGGCUCCUCCUGUUUAUUCCACCAUCUUAACUCAUCAAUUUAAAUUACCAACAGCUUUGUAAAAAUUACCAAGUGUUUGUCUUUUUCUUGCACUAUGAGAAUACUUUCUCCAGCACUGUCAAUACCAGCUCGACCAGCUCUGCCAGCCAUUUGUUUAUACUGGUUCUUCUUCAGGAAGUCAUUGCCAACAUAAGGAGCUCUGAGAAUCACCCUGCAAAGACAUCUGGAAUAAGUUAUGCUUUAUAUUCAAAUUACUAAGGCAGCAAUAAAAUGUUACAAAUUAAAAUUAAUUCUUUAUUAAUGUGCCCCUUACCUCGUAACUAAUAAAAGUCAAAUGCAUCUCUUUGGA